rnacentral:rRNA from 1 species
AUUGAACGCUGGCGGCAGGCCUAACACAUGCAAGUCGAACGAGUGGCGGACGGGUGAGUAAUGUGUGGGAAACUGCCCGAUAGAGGGGUAUAACUACUGGAAACGGUCGCUAAUACCGCAUACUAUCGGAUGUGCCCAUAUGGGAUGAGCUAGUAGGUGGGGUAACGGCUCACCUAGGCGACGAUCCCUAGCUGGUCUGAGAGGAUGACCAGCCACACUGGAACUGAGACACGGUCCAGACUCCUACGGGAGGCAGCAGUGGGGAAUAUUGCACAAUGGGCGCAAGCCUGAUGCAGCCAUGCCGCGUGUAUGAAGAAGGCCUUCGGGUUGUAAAGUACUUUCAGCGAGGAGGCGUUACUCGCAGAAGAAGCACCGGCUAACUCCGUGCCAGCAGCCGCGGUAAUUC